UCAACUGGAGACCUCCAAGAAAACUCGGGGUACAUCUGGUUGGUGUCUUGAUCGCUACAAAUGCUAGUGACCAAGACAGCUGAUCUGCAGAUGACUUGUCUCCUCCACCCACGGACCAGAUGCUGUUGUAGCCCCUGGCCUGCUGCUGUGGGAGCCAGUGCCACUGAUCUCAGCCAAGAGGCUAAGAAGUGAUGAGCACACUCACGAGCCAUCAGGACGCAGAAGGAAGACUGCUACUUAACCUCAGAACCCACUUCGGACUGCUAUGUGUCUUGAAAAUUUCAGCAAUGGAUGUAAGGAUAUUUCCUGAUGUCAUGGAAACUGGAAAAGCCAGUGGAAACCAGGCAGACACAGUUCAUAAGGAGAAUACAGUGGAUCUCUCAAACAACCCCUGACAUCCCUCUACCACGAUGUCAAGACAAAGGAGUCCACUGAAAUGUACUUUUUAUUAUUCACCAGAUGGUCAGGCUACAGGGACACAGCCAUUCUGUCCCUCUGCUCAGGACAACUGUGAAAAGCUCCUCUCUGGGAGACUGGCAACAUUAGAAAG
rnacentral:lncRNA from 1 species